AAAAAGACAAAACCUAGGUUUCCGUGUCCAACGUUUGACUAUCCGUCUUAUAUGAAUUUUUUUUAUAAUUAGUAUUUUCAUUGCUGUUAGAUGAUAAAACAUGAUUAAUACUCUAUGCGUGACUUGUCUAUUUAAUUUUUUUUCAUAUUUUUUUCAAAUAAGACGGACGGUCAAACGUUGGAUACGGAAACCCAAGGUUUGUCUUUUU
rfam:Oryza barthii chromosome 2, whole genome shotgun sequence.